CGCAAAUGUCGGUGUCCAUGUGGUAUACAAGGAAGCUGAAGAACAAGCAUUGAGUAGUAUAUACUACAACUCCGAAGAAGAUGAUCAAAGAAGACCACCUCAACAACCUCAACAGCAAAAGGCUUAGGUUGAAUUCUGAUUGAGAUUCAUGGAUAUUUUUGUGAAUAUUUGCAAAAGGAAGACUUUGCCUCAUUAUCUCAUACAAUUGAAGACUGUAUAAAUAGAUUUGAAGGCAUGUAAAC